CCACCUAACCCUACUACCCAUCGCACAAUCCACUCCCUCUUUUCUCUCUUUGACCGGUCACUCUCACUCUUGUUCUCCUUUUCUUUUUCUUUUUCAGUCAACACAACACACAACACACACACUCCUCUCCCUCACCCUCCCACCGGUACAUUCCUCAUCAUCACCUCUACCAUUUUUUCCGGCAAAAUCACUAGAAAAUCCUCAAGAACAUCACACCUUCACAUAAGUUAAUUGAGGUUCUAGCUAAUUUCUUUUGGAGCUUGGAAAAUUAGUUUUUUUUUUGCGGGUUGUGAGAGUAGGCAACGGUCUUUUGAGGCAGCUUUUUGGUGGCUAAUAGUAGUUAGACUAACUACUAAUGGAGGCUGAACUUUGGUAAUGGGUAUAUUAGAUGAUGUACAUCUUAGAAUAGACUUGACUCAUUCUUUUGUAUAUUAUAGUGGCUAUGAUGUUAUUUCCUACUGAUGAGACAAGCUGAUGAUAUGUAAUUAAUUAUUCAGACCUCUAUUCUUUUGUGGCCAAUGGUCUUUGUAAUUAUUUCUUAGAGCUCUGACUUACUCUGAGAAUAUAUUCAAUGGAAUUAUUAUGAUAAUCCUUGAUAUU